rnacentral:snRNA from 1 species
GAAUGUGAGGGCGAUCUGGCUGCGACAUCUGUCACCCCAUUGAUCGCCAGGGUUGAUUUGGCUGAUCUGGCUGGCUAGGUGGGUGUCCCAUUCCUCCCUCACUGCUCCAUGUGUGUCCUUCCCGAAGCUGCGCGCUCGGUGGAAGACGUUUCAGGUAUAGCAGGAGUGUACCGAGGUCUUUGGUCCCAGGUAUAUGAUAGCUGCACUCCCCUGCUAGAACCUCCAAAAAGCUCAACUUAAUCCUGGCAAUAAGUAGUAAUUCUUACAGAUUCAAAAGUCUAGGAAGGUUUCUGGAAGAAUUAUACCUCAAAUA